rnacentral:rRNA from 1 species
AUUGAACGCUGGCGACAUGCCUUACACAUGCAAGUCGAACGGUAACAGGUCUUCGGAUGCUGACGAGUGGCGAACGGGUGAGUAAUACAUCGGAACGUGCCUAGUAGUGGGGGAUAACUACUCGAAAGAGUGGCUAAUAUCGCAUGAGAUCUACGGAUGAAAGCAGGGGAUCGCAAGACCUUGUGCUACUAGAGCGGCCGAUGGCAGAUUAGGUAGUUGGUGGGAUAAAAGCUUACCAAGCCGACGAUCUGUAGCUGGUCUGAGAGGACGAUCAGCCACACUGGGACUGAGACACGGCCCAGACUCCUACGGGAGGCGGCAGUGGGGAAUUUUGGACAAUGGGCGCAAGCCUGAUCCAGCAAUGCCGCGUGCAGGAUGAAGGCCUUCGGGUUGUAAACUGCUUUUGUACGGAACGAAAAGCCCUGGGUUAAUACCCUGGGGUCAUGACGGUACCGUAAGAAUAAGCACCGGCUAACUACGUGCCAGCCGCCGCCGUAACAC